UCCGUAGGGCGCAAGCGUUGUCCGGAAUUAUUGGGCGUAAAGAGCUCGUAGGCGGUUUGUCGCGUCUGCUGUGAAAACCUAAGGCUCAACCUUGGGCUUGCAGUGGGUACGGGCAGACUAGAGUGCGGUAGGGGUGACUGGAAUUCCUGGUGUAGCGGUGGAAUGCGCAGAUAUCAGGAGGAACACCGAUGGCGAAGGCAGGUCACUGGGCCGCAACUGACGCUGAGGAGCGAAAGCGUGGGGAGCGAACAGG
rnacentral:rRNA from 1 species